UACGAACCGGACAAACGUUAUUCGGAAUUAUUGGGCUUAAAGGGUGCGUAGGCGGCCGCGCAAGUUGGGUGUGAAAUCCCUCGGCUCAACCGAGGAAUUGCGCCCAAUACUGCGUGGCUAGAGGGAGACAGAGGCGAGCGGAACUGAUGGUGGAGCGGUGAAAUGCGUUGAUAUCAUCAGGAACACCGGUGGCGAAGGCGGCUCGCUGGGUCUCUUCUGACGCUGAGGCACGAAAGCUAGGGUAGCGAACAGG
rnacentral:rRNA from 1 species